CUAUUGUUAGAUUUUUAUAAUUUUAUCAUGUAAAAAUUUUUCAAAAUGAGUAUGCAGCGAAAAUUAAAAAUUUUAGAUUAAAUUAAAUUUAAUCUAAGCAUGCAUAAGAUCAAAUCUUAAAAUCAUAAACAAGAUCAUCAUAUAUGAGAUAGGAUUCAGAUACAGAAAUCAAAUAGAAAAAAAUAAAUAAGCUUCAUACCUUGGCACGAGUCGAUCUUCAUCGCGAACUGAUGAUCAUGGAUGUUUUUCGAAGGUAGGGUUGCACAAGCGUUUGGCCUAUAUGGAUAUCUAUAUGAGAUUUCGAUCUGAUCAAAAAUUUAUUGAUCUCAUCGGGGUGCUAGGUCUCUUACAGAGAUCGCAUCUUGACAGUUGAAAUACUUCUUUUCUCUCAAGACACUCUUAGAGAAGAAAUAUAAAGAUGAUGAUCUCUUCGUUAGAGAUCAUGUGAAAAACUUUUUCUUCUCUUUUCUUCCUAUAACUCAUGCACCAAAUCUCUACACUAGAGAUGUAAAAAUUUUAUCCAACUUUUGGACAAAAAGGAAAGGAGAAACCAUGUCCAAACUAGGAUAAAAUAUGGGAGAGAAUGUAUCCUAACAACCAACCUUUGGUUGUUUGUAAGAAAGAAAAGAUAAGAGCACAAAUACCUCAUGCCCAUGACCUUCAUGCUGUGCCUCUCUCCAUGAUUUUUCUUCUCACACAACCCCUUGGUUUUUGGCAUCUCAACCUGAUCCAUAUCAGCCCCCCAAACCAUCCCAUAAGACCAUGUUUAAAUAGGCAAAGAGGAGUUUGAAUUUGGAUAGGAGAUAAGAGUCCAAACAACCUUGGACUCUAACAAUUUUAUGCGACCCAACCUUCUCUCUUUUGCACCCUCAAAUCUCAUGAAAAGAAGAGGAUUAAGAAAGCUUAUUACACAUUAAAAAGGGAGAGGGGGCGUGGAAAAAUAUGGCAUCCGAUCUGGUUGGGCGUGGGAUUUUUAUGGCAUAUGAGAGGAAGGAGUUUAAAGCAUAUUGGACUCUUCUUUAGGUGGUUGAAUUAAAUCAAUUAAAACUCUAACCAAUCUUAAUCAUAUUAAAAAUUGAUUAGAUCCAAAUAAAUAAAAAUUUAAAUCUGAUUUGGAGCCCAAACUAUUUAGAUUAGAUGUCAUCUAAUUAGAGGAGUUCUAAUCCUUUUAGACUCUUUCUUGGUGCUUGAGUCAAACUCAAUUUAAUCCUAAUCCAAUUAAGAUUUGAUGUACCAAUGAAGAUGAAAAUUCUUAGUCCAAAUAGGAACUCAAAUAUUUUUAUUUAAAUCUUAGUCUAAUUAGGAACUAAGUCAAAUCCAAAUCCUAAUUCAACAGGGAAUCAUUCUUCCAUGUAAUUUGGUUAUUUCAUAACCCAAUUAAGCUUGAUC
rnacentral:lncRNA from 1 species